GACAGACAGACAGAAGGGAAGGCUCAAAUGUGGCACAGGUACAGAGACCUCAGGCAAGAAGAACACUUAUUUCCCGCUGAUGUUUCAAGGGUGAAAAACAACUCCCAUCUGCUGAGCCAUCUGAAAACAUCCAGCUCCUCUCCACUACGACGCUACAUGGCAGCUUCAUGGUAUGCCAAGCUGCAGGCGGAGAAUGUAGCUCCGAGGCAACAGCUGAGCUUUCGUGGGCAUCCGGGGUGAAUCAAUGUUGAACCUCUUCUCGUUCUCCAGGGCAAGACUGCCCUUCAAAAAAGGGUCCAUAACAAAUUCUGUUUCUCUGCUGGCUACCCCCACCACAAGUCUUGGAACACCCUGACCACAAAGACCAUGGCUGCCACCUGCCAUCGACUGAAAGGAUAUUUGCAAUGUUAAAACCUUAGCAAAAAAA